GGGCGAAUGGCUCAGCGGCAGAGCGCCUGACUCACAUUCAGGAGGUCGCAGGUUCAAAUCCUGCUUCGCCCA
rnacentral:tRNA from 1 species